CACACGACUCUCGGCAACGGAUAUCUCGGCUCUCGCAUCGAUGAAGAACGUAGCGAAAUGCGAUACCUGGUGUGAAUUGCAGAAUCCCGCGAACCAUCGAGUCUUUGAACGCAAGUUGCGCCCGAGGCCACUUGGUUGAGGGCACGCCUGCCUGGGCGUCACGC
rnacentral:rRNA from 1 species